rnacentral:lncRNA from 1 species
UCGAACAGCGCCCUCGAUGGCCAGCAUCACAUCGAGGUCCGAUUUGCGCGACGGCUUUUGUGUCGGCUGUGGCAUGAGCAGUGCGGCGACAUCGAGGUGGCCGGCCGUGGCGGCUGCGACGAGCGCGGGACCCGUGUCGACGGCCUUACAGGCGUCGUAGUCUGUGCGCAGGCUCCGAAGCAGAAAGAGGACGGGCCGCGCGCAUCCGUUGCGCGACGCCUGCUCGAUCCACUUGGCAGCGCCGCGGAGCGGGUCGUUCCACGGGCGCGACUCUAUGUGCCCGAUGAGCGAAUCGGCACGCGGCGAGCGCAUGACGGCGCCCAACGCCUCGUGCGACAAAGAGAUGUGCGGGUGCGCCUCGACGACGUGGAUCAGGCCGGCAUCGAGCGCCGCGAUCCCGCGGUCGCUAAAGUGGGAACACGCAAACUGGCCGAACGUGGCGCACGUGCCACAUUGCUUCCAGCGACCCAGUGCUCCGUCGAUGGCCUCGGCGCACCCCGAUCGCAGUGUCUGCGCGACAAUAAAGCACGGCACCCUGGCGGUCGCGGGAUCGUCGUCGACAUUGUCCAGAAAGUCAAAUAGGUCCCCGUUCUCCACGCCAAUGAGCCCGUGGUGGUCCUCGUAGCCGGCGAGCGCGCGCCCGUGCACGGUCCUGUGCGACGUCUCGACGAGGCGUUCACAAGCGAGGGCCGCCGUGUGCCUGCGAAAGGCACAGAGCGCGUCGAUACCCAACUCCAAGAGACCGCAUGCCGGGGCCGCCUUGGCCACCAGCCGGCACAUGGUCCUGUCCGAGGCCAUGCCGAGCGUCUCCCACAACCAGGUGAGCGUGGUCUUUGGCGUGCACCACACGGCCGGCGCGUCAAGGGCAGUGUCGAGGCCGUCGGGAAAGGCCGACGCUCGAUCGUUUGCCUCUCCAAAGGCGAGCGCAGCGUGGCGCCUCACGCGCACCAUGCGCCGCAGGGCGUCCAAGUCUCCAGCGAUGGCGGCAUCCUUGACAAAGUGUGCCUCGGUGCCGGGGCAUGCGUGCCACAGACACGCCAGAACGACGUCGUCGAUGGGAUCUUGUUGGGAGCAGGCCUCUGGUUGCCCUUCUUUGUCGGCAUCAACAGCAGCAAUGGGCGUGCCUCGAUCGCCGCCGUCGGCAACGAUCGUUGUGGCGUUCUGCUCGGGCAGAUUUGUUCUCUUGGCCGUGACGCCAUUGGUGCGACCGCCAUCGCCGAGGAUCGCCAAAGCGGCUUCGAGCGCCUGCAAGAGACGAAAGGGACUGCUCACGGAGCCGAUCCAGACGGCCGUCGCCGUGUGGCCGGCGGCCAGCGCCACGGGAAAGGCGCUGACAAAGUGUCCGAUGGGCUCGUGACAUCGAAACAGCCAUGCGAGAAAGGCGGCGCACACAGCACACGACCUGAGCCGACAGCGUAUCUUGUCACGCACCGAGGAUCGUACGGUAUCGAUCAAAGCGCGCAUCGGAUCAGGACCAAGCGGAUCGAUGCAGCACGCCGCCUUGGAGUCGCCAUACCACAAGAGUAUGGCGUGUCUGUAGAUGGCGCACACAACGUCGAGCCUGCCCGCGCCCGCCGCAGCCAAGAGCGCGUUGGGAAGACACUCGCGCGCGUGGCCAGCCACGCGAUGUGAAACAAGGUCAGUAUCGGCGUAGGGCUGUGCCUGCGCAACGCCGGCUGUGCCCGAGUAGGCGUGUGAACACGGACAGAGCCCGGCGGCACCUUGGGCGAUGCGCUCUGCCCUGUAGCGUGCGGCUGCGGAACAAGAGAGCACGUUGAAAGCACGAGACGACGCGAGACAGGCGCCGAUAGCCGGCGCCGGCAGCCAGGCGAGAAUGCCCGACAAAAUCUCGGGAGGCAUGUCGGCGAGCGUCGGACCCUGCCGCACAUCGGCGUGGUCGCAUGCUUGCAUUUUUUGUGUUUUUGGUCCCUUUUUUCUCUAGGGAAAGAGAGUCGUCUCUGGGCGUCUGUCCGUCGAGACCGGAAACACGCGG